rnacentral:rRNA from 1 species
AACUUGCCCUCUAGACUGGGACAACUGUUGGAAACGACAGCUAAUACCGGAUAUUAUGAGAUUCUCGCAUGGGAAACUUAUGAAAGGCUAUAUGCGCUAGAGGAGAGCUUUGCGUGCCAUUAGGUAGUUGGUAGGGUAAUGGCCUACCAAGCCGACGAUGGCUAGCCGGCCUGAGAGGGUGAUCGGCCACAAGGGGACUGAGACACGGCCCUUACUCCUACGGGAGGCAGCAGUGGGGAAUAUUGGACAAUGGACAAAAGUCUGAUCCAGCAAUUCUGUGUGCACGAUGAAGGUUUUCGGGUCGUAAAGUGCUUUCAGCAGGGAAGAAAAAAAUGACGGUACCUGCAGAAGAAGCGACGGCUAAAUACGUGCCAGCAGCCGCGGUAAUACGUAUGUCGCAAGCGU